rnacentral:rRNA from 1 species
UACGUAGGUGGCAAGCGUUGUCCGGAUUUAUUGGGUUUAAAGGGCGCGUAGGCGGUUCGUUAAGUUGCUGGUGAAAUCCCGGGGCUCAACUCCGGGGCUGCCAGUAAGACUGGCGGGCUAGAGCACGGUAGAGGCGGAUGGAAUUCCCGGUGUAGCGGUGGAAUGCGUAGAUAUCGGGAAGAAUACCGGUGGCGAAGGCGUUCCGCUGGGCCGUUGCUGACGCUGAGGCGCGACAGCGUGGGGAGCAAACAGG